rnacentral:tRNA from 1 species
GGCAGGAUGGCCGAGCGGUCUAAGGCGCUAGAUCCAGGUCUCAUGACUUUCUAGUCUUUCGAGUCGUGGGUUCGAAUCCCACUCCUGUCA